ACAGGCCAAGGAGGAAAGUUCUGCAGGCUCGGAGGAGGCCGGCGGCGAAGGAGCCCGAGAUGACAGCGGCGCGGAGGUUCUGCGCACCUCUUACAGUCCCCGAGGUCCGGUCCCCAGAGCACUCUUACCUGCGCGGCUCGAAGGCGGCGCCCACAGCAGCAGCAGGAACAGGAGUAGCGGCGAAGACAGCAGCAGGGCGCCUGGGCGCGCAGCUUUCCAGCGGGUACCCCGACCUGGCCAGACUCCAAGAACCAACGUUGAGGGACCCCCGAAGUUUGAUCGCUGGAAUUCAAAAGAGAGAUUGCAGUACCACACAGAACUUUCUCUUUAAGGAGGAGUUCCGAGAGCUCCUCUUCUGGGCGGAGACUCAACUUGCAAUUCAGCCAGAAGGGGCUCCCUAGACUAUGACUGACAGGCCAAUACAGCGCUGGGGACCUGCCUUCUACCUCUCCACAGACCAGACUGUCAAGGAUGCCCAGAGGGGCCUUAAGUGAACAAGGAGUGACCAAGUUAUUAAUCAGGUGAAGGUCAGUCUCAGAUCCCACCCCACCGCCUUACUGCUGUCCCUAGUGGCCCAACAACUCACAAGGAAAAGGAAGAGCCCCCUUCCAGAGCUGACAGCUGGAAAAGGAGAGGGGCUCCCAGCUCCCCAUCUACAGCAGAGGGAGACAGGAGUUCUCCCAGACUUCUCCAGGCCUGGGAGGCCCUGCAAAAGCCUGACUCACUGCCCUGCCCUUCUCCAAGGGCUUCAGGGUUUGUUUAGAAAGAAUCAGAGUGAAUUAAGAAGGCUUUCAGACACAAAGCUAUCGCUCCCUUUGAACACAUUGCAGCCUGAAAGAAUUUUGUAGUGAUGGAGACCGGCCUGGGACAUCUCUCUCCGGCUGCAUCCUCAGGCUCCCUAGUUUCUCAUUAUUCUCCAAACAAGAGGAGAGUGGCAGUCAGGGUGCAGAGGCAUUCAUGGGAUAGAGGCAGUCAGAGGGCAGAGGCAGUCAAGGGGCAAAGGCAGUCAGAGGGCAGAGGCAGUCAGGGGAUAGAGGCAGUCAGGGGGCAAAGGCAGUCAGAGGAGUUGCUGGGAUGGCCAUGCUCUGGUUCUUGAAUCUGAAUGGGGGUGGCUAGUACUGACUUAAUUCAAGCUUUGCUUAAGUGUGGAAUGUACCUUAUAGGGAACAUCAGACAGUACACAGAAUAGAGGAGGAAAGCUGGGGAUGCAGCUCAGAGGCUGUGCACAAAGGUCCUAAAUUCUAUCCAGAGUACAGAGAGGGCAGAGGGAAACAAGCUUGAGUGGACAUGCAGACAGACAGACAGACUCAGUCACAGUACAGUAAGAGUUAAAAGCCAGCUUGUACUUGUUAUGGAAUAAUUAUGUAUGUGUGUAAGUUGUAUAAAUGAUAAGAUGUGUAUGUGUGUGUGUAUGAACACAUGUGGGGGCAUGUA
rnacentral:lncRNA from 1 species